rnacentral:rRNA from 1 species
AUUGAACGCUGGCGGCAGGCCUAACACAUGCAAGUCGAACGAGCGGCGGACGGGUGAGCAAUGUCUGGGAAACUGCCUGACGGAGGGGGAUAACUCCUGUAACCCGUAGCUACUCCUGCAUACCAACGGAUGUGCCCAGAUGGGUUUAUCUAGCAGGUGGGGUAAAGGCUCACCUAGGCGACGAUCCUUAGCUGGUCUGAGAGGAUUACCAGCCACACGGGAACUGGGACACGGUCCAGACUCCUACGGGGGGCAGCAGUGGGGAAUAUUGCACAAGGGGAGCAAGCCUGAUGCAGCCAUGCCGCGUGUAUGAAGAAGGCCUUCGGGUUGUAAAGUACUUUCAGCGGGGAGGCGUUACCCGCAGAAGAAGCACCGGCUAACUCCGUGCCAGCCGCCGCGGUAAUC